UAAAUUUCAGCUGCCAUAAUUGAGUUCAUUAGAUUUAACGUCCUGGUCAAGGUCAUCUUUGUUGCCAUGGAGACAGUGAGGCUCCGCCCCUCUUCCAAUGUUCAGGCCAUCUUCCAGGAGCAGCGGAUACAGCCAUAAGCAGCGCUCAAACAGAAGCAUGCACUGAAGGCUGUGAAGGGUUCGUGCUUCAGGUCCUACCCAAUAGCAAUUCACCUUCAUCGUGCCCUGCAGAGUGAAGUCAGCUGCUGUGCUAUACCUUUACAGGAAACAGAAAGAAAAGAAAGGACCAAGAGAAACAUCAUGUAGGCAGUGAAAUCACUUAGAAUCGCCAUUAUAUGUUCAUUCACCCAGAAGAAAACAUGUUGAGAAUAGUUUCACAGAUUUUUUUUUAAUUUGUUUGGAUUUUAAUGUUCAGCUAAUGAACAGAUUCAGCCAAACCUUUGCAUCUCAUCUACAACAAAAUGAAGGCUGGUUUGGAAGGUAGUGUUUUGAUAUACACGCAACUACAUUUGCAGAAAGAAAUAAAACAAUACCUGACCUGAAAAAAGUAUUCACACCUCUUGAACAUGUUCACACUUUGUCAUGUUACCACAAAUUCCUGUAUAUUUUCUUCAUGAUAGACCACCACAGUGUAGGAGACAUUAUUGUGAGUUGGAACGCAAGUUUGUUCAGGAUUACUAGUAUUUAGACCACAAAGUUCAACUUUUUGGUUUUUAAUCAGACCAAACCAUCUUCUUUAACAUUGAAUGUAAUGCUUAGAUUGUGGUUACAACAGGACAAACUAUGACAAAUACAUUCAAGAGAUAUCAAUGCUUUUGGAAAACACCGUAAAUAUUUUCUUUCAUUCAAAUAAUUUAGCUCAAAAAAAAAAAACAUUUAAGAAGUUUUAGCCUCUGGUUCCUACAAAAAAGUAAGCUGAAAAUUAUUUAAGAACACCGACUUUUACUUUUUAUUCACUGUAGUUCCUCAUCCAUCCACUUAUAUGCAGAAAGGAUUUUGGCAAUAUGAUAAAUACUGUGGUUCCCUCUCUUAUUGGCAAAGAAGAUGGCUCUAGAACUAUACACGCCCUCGUCUUGCAGGGUAGAACCCAUUUUCCAGAGCACCUGCUGAAGUGCUGAUAACAAAACGAGCGGCUGCUCCAUCUGCAGCCACUCCCUGCUAUCUUCAUUAAAAUAGCACCAAGAACUCCUUCCAACAUUAAGACUGGCAUGUUGCGACCAAGGACUGAUUCUAAUGGUUGGGUUUGCUAACGCAGAUGGUUGGAAAAUCCCCUUCCUCAGUUUCUGUCCUAAACACGGGAGGAUCACUUCCAAGGAUGGAAAACGUUGGACAGGGAUCUGCUGCAGUGAUGAACCUCUUCCAGAGGAAAAUAAUUCACAGUACUGUCACUAAAAUCACGGGAGAAUUUGGUUUUAGGGAAAAAAAAAAAA